GAUGAACGCUGGCGGCGUGCCUAAUACAUGCAAGUCGAGCGAACGGACGAGAAGCUUGCUUCUCUGAUGUUAGCGGCGGACGGGUGAGUAACACGUGGAUAACCUACCUAUAAGACUGGGAUAACUUCGUGAAACCGGAGCUAAUACCGGAUAAUAUUUUGAACCGCAUGGUUCAAUAGUGAAAGACGGUCUUGCUGUCACUUAUAGAUGGAUCCGCGCUGCAUUAGCUAGUUGGUAAGGUAACGGCUUACCAAGGCAACGAUGCAUAGCCGACCUGAGAGGGGACACGCCCCACCUGAAGCGGUGACAGGUCCACAACCCCAAGGGAAGCAGGAAGUGGGAAAGUUCCCGAAAUGGGCGAAGCAUUGCCGAAACACCGCCGCGUGGUUAGUGAUGGUCUUCGGAUCUGAAACCUUUUUUAUGAGGGAAGAAGAUAUUUGUAAGUAACUGUGCUCUUCUGAACGGAACCAAAGCAAAAAGCCGCGCCAACCUCCUG
rnacentral:rRNA from 1 species